UUUCCGUAGGUGAACCUGCGGAAGGAUCAUUGCAUCGAUCGAACACAAACCGCGAACCAUCGUUUCCCCGCUGGGCGGCCUCCUCGGAGGCCGUACAGUGCGCUUGUCCCUGACCCGUGACCUCGGUUCUCGAGGCUCGGCAGGUCUGGCGGGCCGGGGAGGCCUCUCUCCGAUCCUCACCCGAUCGGAUGACGUCUCUCGUCGGCUGGGCCAAACCCCAAUCGUAACCGAACCGAGCAAAGCCUGAAGCACAGUGGGCGGCCGUUCAUCUGGACGGUCGUCAGCAACCAAUGACAACUCUCAACAAUGGAUGUCUUGGCUCCC
rnacentral:misc_RNA from 1 species